AGCAUAUCAAUAAGCGGAGGAAAAAGAAACUAACAAGGAUUUCCCCUAGUAACUGCGAGUGAAGCGGGAAAAGCUCAAAUUUAAAAUCUGUCAGUCUUUGGCUGUCCGAGUUGUAAUCUAGAGAAGUGCUAUCUGCGCUGGACCGUGUACAAGUCUCCUGGAAUGGAGCGUCAUAGAGGGUGAGAAUCCCGUCUUUGACACGGAUUGCCAGGGCUUUGUGAUACGCUCUCAAAGAGUCGAGUUGUUUGGGAAUGCAGCUCAAAAUGGGUGGUAAAUUCCAUCUAAAGCUAAAUAUUGGCGAGAGACCGAUAGCGAACAAGUACCGUGAGGGAAAGAUGAAAAGAACUUUGGAAAGAGAGUUAAACAGUACGUGAAAUUGCUGAAAGGGAAACGCUUGAAGUCAGUCGCGUUGUUCAGGGAUCAACCUUGCUUUUGCUUGGUGUACUUCCUGGUUGACGGGUCAGCAUCAAUUUUGACUAUUGGAAAAAGUUCAAAGGAAUGUGGCAUCUUCGGAUGUGUUAUAGCCUUUGGUCGCAUACAAUGGUUGGGAUUGAGGAACUCAGCACGCCGCAAGGCCGGGUUUUAACCACGUACGUGCUUAGGAUGCUGGCAUAAUGGCUUUAAUCGACCCGUCUUGAAACACGGACCAAGGAGUCUAACAUGCCUGCGAGUGUUUGGGUGGAAAACCCGAGCGCGCAAUGAAAGUGAAAGUUGAGAUCCCUGUCGUGGGGAGCAUCGACGCCCGGACCAGACCUUUUGUGACGGUUCCGCGGUAGAGCAUGUAUGUUGGGACCCGAAAGAUGGUGAACUAUGCCUGAAUAGGGUGAAGCCAGAGGAAACUCUGGUGGAGGCUCGUAGCGAUUCUGACGUGCAAAUCGAUCGUCAAAUUUGGGUAUAGGGGCGAAAGACUAAUCGAACCAUCUAGUAGCUG
rnacentral:rRNA from 1 species